UCUCAAUCAUCUUUCCAAAGCAUCCUGCAAAAGAAUCAUUCUUAUCUCUGCUUUGUAGAUGAAGAAACUUGAAGCUGAAAGUUUGUCCAUGGUCUUCUUGGGGAUGCAAACUCAGGUCUACCUUCAGGUGGGUGUUCUUUCUCUCCAUUCUGCUGUUUGGGAUGACUGAAAAUACUAUUCCUACAGCUGCUAAGCAGUGAGCGCAGGCAAGGCACUGGCUUUCUGUGGACCAUAGUCCCUUCAUUUUCAGGUGGAGGUGGUCAUAUCUACCUUCUCUUUUCAUAGAAUUGUUGGAUAUUGCAAAGCAACUGGAAAGCUCUCUUUAGAAGACAACAAAUGUAGAAAGGCUGGUUUCAAGGUCCAACUCCGCUUUGCACAUACUCUCUGCCCAAAUCUGGGAGGUAAUUCUGUGUGGAGGCUGAGAGGACUGGUCUAGGCAAAGGAGGAUGGUGGCCUUCAUCAGAGGGGCAGCUGUGGAACUGAACACAUCUGACAUGCCUUCAGACACCAGGAUGAACAGUACAUUGACCCAUGCAUUCAGCAGCUAAAAUGUGCCAGGGCUGUGAAUUCCUGCAUUUAUCUACUUUUGUUUUCCUGUGUAGACACAAGGCUGCCUGGCCUCCCAGAGAAGGAAUUGCAAGAUUAAUGUUGACAUCAUUGAAGAAAACAUCACAAUUCUGAGACUGAAGUC
rnacentral:lncRNA from 1 species